AUUUAGAAGAAAUGUAAAUGGUAUAAUAACUUAUGUGCAGCUGGAUAUCGUUGUAUUUAAUAUUUUGUGAAAUACUUAGGCAGAAAUCAGUCAAGAUUUCACUAUUUGAAACUAUAGCAGUAUGGCACCCUGUUUAUAAUAGUGAUAAAAAGCAUAAAAUGUGAGGGAUGUUGGUUUUUUACAUUUUAAACACGCUAUAUUAAAAAAAAUAUGAUGUACAUAAUUCAUAUUUCACAUCGUUCAGGUUGCUGUUCUUUAAAUGAAUUUUGAUUAGAGUUUCUGAAUGAGAUGCUGAAACAAUGCGAAAGUUGGGUAUUCUUUACUUUCAUGUGUUGUGAUGCAACAUCUCGGCACAUGGUGGUCAACUCUAAAAGGAAACACAGUUACCGGUGUGAGUAAAUUUUUAUGAUAUGUCUUGACCUCAUGUUUGCUGGCGAAUACAUGCAAUUUAGCCUCAUUUGCUCGCUCCCCAAGUCAUUAGUGUUGAUACAUGUAAUGUUGACCACCAUGUAUAACCCUAUGUAUAACACCUUGAUGUUACCAUAGUUAAUGGAGGAGAUGGUUUGGAAACUCGUUAGCAUUACAAUAAAAUCACAAUAAACCUCAUUAUCUAUGUUGUUCAGGUUUAUGCAAAAAAUGUGGUCUUUCAUCGUCACGUGCGUAUUGUAUUUUUCUCAAGUCAACCAAUAGGAAUGUUCAAAAUGUCCUAUUGUUAAAGUCAUGGAUGGGCAAUUGGACAAAACCGUUGCUAUUGGCUGGUUGAGCAAAAAUACAAUACGCAC